AAUAUAUAUGUCAUUACAAUAUUAAGUGGCGAACCUUGUCAGGCCAGAGAUGGAGCAGCAAUAGCAUAAUCUUUUUAUGUGUGAUGACACUAUUAAAUUUAAUAA
rnacentral:SRP_RNA from 8 species